AUUGAACGCUGGCGGAAUGCUUUACACAUGCAAGUCGAACGGCAGCACGGGGGCGAACCCUCGUGGCGAGUGGCGAACGGGUGAGUAAUACAUCGGAACGUGCCCACGUCGUGGGGGAGUAACGUAGCGAAAGCUACGCUAAUACCGCAUACGAACUCUGGUUGAAAGCGGGGGAGUCGCAAGACCUCGCGCGAUUGGAGCGGCCGAUGGCAGAUUAGGUAGUUGGUGGGGUAAAGGCCACCAAGCCGACGAUCUGUAGCUGGUCUGAGAGGACGACCAGCCACAC
rnacentral:rRNA from 1 species